rnacentral:rRNA from 1 species
GACGAACGCUGGCGGCGUGCUUAACACAUGCAAGUCGAACGGACCUUAGCAUCAAGCUUGCUUAAUGCGAAAGGUUAGUGGCGGACGGGUGAGUAACACGUGGAUAAUCUGCCUAUGACACAGGGAUAACACUGUGAAAACGGUGCUAAUACCAGAUACGUUUAUCGAAUCGCAUGGUUUGAUAAAGAAAGGAGCAAUCCGGUCAUAGAUGAGUCCGCGGCUGAUUAGCUAGUUGGUGAGGUAACGGCUCACCAAGGCGAUGAUCAGUAGCCGGCCUGAGAGGGUGAACGGCCACACUGGGACUGAGACACGGCCCAGACUCCUACGGGAGGCAGCAGUGGGGAAUCUUCCGCAAUGGACGAAAGUCUGACGGAGCAACGCCGCGUGGGUGAAGAAGGCCUUCGGGUUGUAAAACCCUGUCUUAUGGGAAGAAAAAUAGACGGUACCAUAGGAGGAAGACACGGCUAACUACGUGCAGCAGCCGCGGUAAAGUGUGU